GGUUGUAAAGUUUGGUUUAACUAGGCAUAUCAAUGUGUAGGAAUACUCAAAAUUUUAUCCGAAUCUAAAUCUGAACGGAGCGAAUUUAUUCAAUUUUAAAUAGAUAUAAUUUUGGAUACGAAUAUAAAAAACGAAAGCACGGCGGAUUUGGGUUUGGAUAUAGAUUUUGUUUAUACUUGAGCUCGACCCAAACCCGAAUUGAUUUUGUAUUAUAGAAUAUAUCCUAUUUAUAUUUGAAUUUGUAUUUUAAAAAUUUAGACUUAAUAUAAUAUGUUUUGAAAUACGUUAAAGAGAAAUAAUUGUUUCGCAUUCGAAUUUCAGAAUUUUGGUCGGGUUCAGAUCUGGAUAUGGAUUUUUAAAAUCCGUUGAAUUUGAGUUCGUCUUCGGAUUCGGGUUUUGGAUUUGAUAUUUGGUUGUCCCGAAUCCGACCUGUUGACAUUCCACGGUUG
rnacentral:lncRNA from 1 species